rnacentral:lncRNA from 1 species
AAAUGCCUCUAUACUAGGAGACUUGCUGUUUGGUCCCUUUGUGGAUGUUGAGUUUGCAUAGUUGGAUGGGAGAUUCUUUCUACAUUUAUAAAAUGACAGGGUUGUCAGUAUCCUGCACCAGGCAAUGUGGCCCCACACUGUAGCUUUCUCCCUUACAACUUUGUGACCUUCAGCAAGAUAUUCUCACUUCCUGUGUCUUAGUUUUUCCAAUAGCAAAAUGGUGGUGGUAACAGUAGCCCUACUGCAUAGGGCAUAGGAAAUAUGCAUUCAUAGUUUAAACCAUUUAGAACAGUGCCUGGCAUAUACAAAGUGCAAUAAAAUAGACUUCAAUAUUCAUAUUCUACAGCCUAUGUCAUGCUUAACUAUUUCUCCCUUCAGCCCGCCUCUACCCUAGUAUUUAAUGAUCCUCACUGAGGAAAUUCGGUUUUUAUUUUUAUUUUUCCAGACAGACUCUUGCUCUGUUUCCUAGGCUGGAGUGCAGUGGUGCAAUCACAGCUCACUGCAGCUUCAACCUCCUGGGCUCAAGUGUUCCUCCUUCCUCAGCCUCCAGAGCAGCUGGGACUACAGGCACAAGCCAUCACGCCUGGCUAAUUUUUGUAAGUUUUGUAAAGACAGGGUCUCACUAUGUUGCCCAGGCUGGUCUUGAACUCCUGGGCUCAGGCAGUCCUCUCACCUCAGCACUGCAAAGUACUGGGAUUACAGGUAUGAGUCACCACGCCUGGUGGAAUUGGCUUUUUUAAAUGCAUAUAAACCUAAUCUCUUUUUAAAGGCUCUGGCAACUACAUUGCAUGAUAAAAAUAGUUUUCAUUCAAUAUUUCAGAUUGGAGGUGAAUGAUGAGGAGAUACAGAGAUCAACCCUUCAAUGUCUUCACUGCUUAGCUACCUGGAAACUCUGAAGCCAAGUAAUGCAAUUCCAAUUCUACUAAAAAAGCUGAACUCGGUAAUAACCAAAGAGCUCACAGGAUUAAAGAGCUAAAGACUAUUAGCAAUCAUCUAGCCCAACCCCUUAGUUUUACAAAUAAGGACUGAGGAACAUAGAGAUGUAAAAAUAAAAAGCAUAGAGGAGAAGAAUGGGGCCAUAAACUUGAUACAACGUAUUGCAAUCGAGUUUCAUCAGAUAAACUACGGAGACAGUUUCGAUGAUGCUCUUGUCAGAAAACACAUGGUACGAUACACUGUAUAUGUGCCAGAUAGCUUCUGCACUUUCAGAAAUGUCAUUUCUAAAAAUGUCUAUCCAUUUGGAAAAUAAGUA